UACAGAGGGUGCAAGCGUUAAUCGGAGUUACUGGGCGUAAAGGGCGCGUAGGCGGUUAUAUAAGUUUCAUGUGAAAUCCCUGGGCUCAACCUAGGAACUGCAUGAGAUACUGUAUGACUGGAGUACUGUAGAGGGUAGUGGAAUUUCCGGUGUAGCGGUGAAAUGCGUAGAGAUCGGAAGGAACACCAGUGGCGAAGGCGGCUACCUGGACAGAUACUGACGCUGAGGCGCGAGAGCGUGGGGAGCAAACAGG
rnacentral:rRNA from 1 species